rnacentral:rRNA from 1 species
AAAGAUAAGGUAAGAGAAAAUAACGAUAUUAUCUUACUAUUAGUGUCGUCUAAAUUUGGUGCCAGAAGACUCGGUAAGACCUUAGACGCAAACGUUAAUCGUCAUAAUCAGGCGUAAAGGGUGUGUAGGCUGCUUUAAAAAAUAUAAUAAAUAAUAUAAUUAUUAUAGCAAAAAAAUUAUAUUUUAAUAAAAGCUAGAAUCUAAAAGAGGGUAAGCUAAACAACAUAAUUAACUGGGACUGACAACUUAUAAUAAUGUGGAGUACUAAAGGUUAAAGCUAUUUAUCUACUGAAGAUUGACGCUGAGAAACGAAGGGGAGAAUAAGAAACUUAGAUUAGAGACCUAAUUAUCUCUCUCAGUCAACGAUGAAUGGUAGUUAUUAAAAAUUUUAUAAUUUUAGUAACGAGGUUAACACGAUGACCAUUCCGCCUUGUUAGUAAGACUGCAAAGUUGAAAACAAAAAAAUUAGUCGGUCUUGAAGCAAACGAAGUGAAGCAUGUUAUUUAAUUCGAUAAUCCGCACGG